GAUGAUAUUGCUUGUCAAAAUUUCUACCUGCUCAAGACUUGUGCAGAACUACGCACCCAAAUUCAUCAUGAUGCACACAACCAACACCUCUUACUGCAAUCGUGACGAAUCUGACCAUUCUUAUCACUGCAAUUGCCUCCACUGGUACGAAGGAAUCAAGUUACAAGGAAGCAUUGUACUUGAUAUCAACAAUCAGGAACACACAUUGGCUUUCAUU
rnacentral:lncRNA from 1 species